GAAUUCUUGCCUACAAGGAACUUAAAAUCUUAUUUGAAUAUUGGAGACAAACUUUGAUGGAGUAAUUAUUUACUGCCUUACUCACUGAACUCUUGUCAAUAACGCUAUAUAAUAAUGUGUUACAGACUUCUAACGUUUUAAAAAAUACCUUAAUAGGUUUUCUAGGUUUAAUGGAAGUCUUACCCAUUUGCUCAGGGGCACCAAAUACUCAGGUAUAAAAACGCUCUCUCCAGAGCAGAUAGAGUGAUAUUCUGAAACAUGCUAUGUAGAAGAUGAUCCAAGGGGCAAAUAAGAAAAGAGCUUAUUAUAAGAAAGGCUUAGCAAAAAGGAAAAGGAAAAAAAAGGGAAUUGGAAAGGAAUGUUAUCUUGGGUUUGAAUGCAAAAAAAAAGAAAAACAAAAAAAAAGGAGAUAGGCUUCCCUCAUUUUGCCUCAAUACAGUAGUAUGAGUUGUGAUAUUUAAAUAUGUAGGAGCAGGAUUUUAAAGUAAUCUGUGUGAAUUUAUCUUUGGAAAAUGGUAAACAUUCAUUGGUUGCUUUAGAUAGAUCUUCAUAGACUUAUAUGAAACUAUAUAGUCUCUGCUUUUUUUUUAAUCAUUCCCUUUCCAUUCCCCCUCCCACCAGUAGGCACGUGCCUUGAUUUGUGGAUGUAUUUUUAAAGGAAAUAGCAAUGUGUUCACUUGAUACUUUCCUUUACAAUAGGUCUGAUUAUUUUCGCAACUUUGUAGAUUCUUGCCUCCAGAAAAUCCCUCAAGAUCGACCUACAUCAGAGGAACUUCUAAAGCACAUGUUUGUUCUUCGGGAGCGCCCUGAAACCGUGUUAAUAGAUCUGAUUCAGAGGACAAAGGAUGCAGUAAGAGAGCUGGACAAUCUGCAGUAUCGAAAGAUGAAGAAACUCCUUUUCCAGGAGGCACAUAACGGACCAGCAGUAGAAGCACAGGAAGAAGAAGAGGAACAAGAUCAUGGUGUUGGCCGGACAGGAACAGUGAAUAGUGUUGGAAGUAAUCAAUCCAUUCCCAGCAUGUCCAUCAGUGCCAGCAGCCAAAGCAGUAGUGUUAACAGUCUUCCAGAUGUCUCAGAUGACAAGAGUGAGCUAGACAUGAUGGAGGGAGACCACACAGUGAUGUCUAACAGUUCUGUUAUCCAUUUAAAACCUGAGGAGGAAGAUUACAGAGAAGAGGGAGAUCCUAGAACAAGAGCAACAGAUCCACAAUCUCCACCCCAAGUAUCUCGUCACAAAUCACACUAUCGUAAUCGAGAACACUUUGCUACUAUACGGACAGCAUCACUAGUUACAAGGCAAAUGCAAGAACAUGAGCAGGAUUCUGAGCUUAGAGAACAAAUGUCUGGCUAUAAGCGAAUGAGGCGACAACAUCAAAAGCAACUGAUGACUCUAGAAAAUAAGCUAAAGGCUGAGAUGGACGAACAUCGCCUCAGAUUAGACAAAGAUCUUGAAACUCAGCGUAACAAUUUUGCUGCAGAAAUGGAGAAACUUAUCAAGAAACACCAGGCUGCUAUGGAGAAAGAGGCUAAAGUGAUGUCUAAUGAAGAGAAAAAAUUUCAGCAACAUAUUCAGGCCCAACAGAAGAAAGAACUGAAUAGUUUUCUAGAGUCCCAGAAAAGAGAGUAUAAACUUCGAAAAGAGCAGCUUAAAGAGGUACUUAAUGUCAUAAAACUUUUCAAGAAAUUUUCUGCUUAUUAAUUAUAUCCAAUGGUGACCAACUCACAGAAACAUUAAGAUAAAAUUAUCUUUUGUUGUUUGUGGUCACUAAAUGGAUAUUAGUUUAAAUGAUGACUUUAAUUAUAAUCAGUUACCCUUAACUGAGUUAUUUAGUUGAGGAUCUAAAAUGAAUCAUUUCCUGAAAAUAUACUUUUUUUAUGUUUUUAUUUUUAUUUAUUUAUUUAUUUUUGAGACAGAGUCUCGCUCUGUCGCCCAGGCUGGAGUGCAAUGGUGUGAUACCGGCUCACUGCAAGCUCCGCCUCCCGGGUUCACGCCAUUCUCCUGCCUCAGCCUCCUGAGUAGCUGGGACUAUAAGUGCCUGCCACCACGCCUGGCUAACAUUUGGUAUUUUAUUUUAGUAGAGACGGGGUUUCACCAUGUUAGCCAGGAUGGUCUCGAUCUCCUGACCUCGUGAUCCGCCCGCCCCGGCCUCCCAAAGUGCUGGCAUUACAGGUGUGAACCAUUGCGUCCAGCCUUAUGUUCUUAUUUUUUGUAUGUAUUUUUUGAGACAGUCUUACUCUGUUCCACAGGCUGGAGUGCAGUGGCACAAUCAUAGCUCACUGCAGCUUCGACCUCCCAUGCUCAAGCAGUCCUGCCUUAGCCUCCCCAGUAGCUGGGAACACAAGCACGCACCACCACUCCUGGCUAAUUUUUAAAUUUAUUUUUUGUAGAGACAGGGUCUUGCCAUGUUGCCUAGCCUGGUCUCGAACUCCUGGGCUCAAGCAGUCUGCCCACCUUGGCUUCCCAGAGUGCUGGGAUUAUAGGCAUAAGCCACUGUACCUGAUCACGUUUUGUUAUGUGAAACCUUUUCUUCUAAUGUUUUUGGUUUCCCAUUGUUUUACUUUAAAAGUAAACAGAAUAAGGGGGAUAUUUGCUUAUCAGUUUUUUUAAGGUAGAAUAUGCUGAUUAUUUCAUUGUGGUUACAGGGUUUCAUAUUUGUUUGCCCUUUCUUGUGCUGCCCCCUCCCUCUGCUUUUUUUUUUUUUUUUUCCGAAACGGAAGUCUCACUCUGUUGUACAGGCUGGAGUGCAGUGGUGUGAUCUUGGCUCACUGCAACCUCCCCUCCCCCUAGGUUGAAAGGAUUCUCCUGCCUUAGCCCCCCGAGUAGCUGGGAUUACAGGUGUGUGCCACCAUGCCCAGCUAAUUUUUAUAUAUUUUUUUAGUAGAGACAGGGUUUCACCAUGUUAACCAGGCUGGUCUUGAACUCCUGACCUCAGGCAAUCUCCCCACCUCGGCCUCCCAAAGUGCUGGGAUUACAAGCGUGAGCCACCACUCCUGGCUCUUGUGCUGCCUUUUUUUUUUUUUUUUUUUUUUGAGAUAGAGUCUCACUCUAUUGUCCAGGCUGGGGUGCAGUGGCAUGAUCUCGGCUCACUGCAGCCUUCGCCGCUUUGGGUUCAAGUGAUUCUCCUGCCUCAGUAUCCUGAGUAGCUGGCAUUACAGGCACCUGCCACUGCGCCCGGCUGAUUUUUGUAUUUUUAGUAGAGACGAAGGUUUCACCAUCUUGGCCAGGCUGGUCUUAAACUCAUGCCAUUCUCCUGGCUCAGCCUCCCGAGUAGCUGGGACUACCUGUGCCCGCCACCAAGCUCGGCUAAUUUUUUGUAUUUUUAGUAGAGACAGGGUUUCACGAUGUUAGCCAGAAUGGUCUCGAUCUCCUGACCUCAUGAUCUGCCCGCCUCGGCCUCCCAAAGUGCUGGGAUUACAGGCGUGACCAACCGUGCCUGGCCUGACAACUUCUUAAAGAGGAUCGUUAUUCAAGAUAGGCACCAGGAACGGAAAGUGAUAUGUCUUUUAAUUUACACUCCUGUCUUACAGGAUGAUUGAAAUUUUUAGUUCAUAUAAUUAAUUAGCAUACUGUGACACAUCGAUUGAUUUUGAUAAAAUAAGUAUAAUCAAUUUGAUAUUAAUGAUUUGUGUGUGUGUGUAGGAAUUUGCCUUAUAAUCAGAUAUGUAUGUCUUGUUGUGUACAUAUUGGUGGCACAAAGACUUGCUGUAUACCCUGCCAAGUGAGCUUCAUUGACAAGAUUUUUCCAACUCUAAAUGGUAUAAUUUGCAGUAUAUUCCCAUGACUAUAAUUCAAAAGCCAAACUCUAUACUGGAACUUUGAGUUUGAAACAAUAGUAAAUAGUUUCCAACUAUAUGUAAAUCUCCAACAAAAUGCAGUUGUUUUGUUUUCCAGUGAAAUUUAAAACAAUGUGGAAAAUCAUUAAUUUUGAUUUGUUCAGUGGUUAAUGCUGAAAAUUAAAUACCAUUCAUAAAGUAGGUCUCUAUUCUUCCAUGGUUUUGUUAGUUUUCCAUUUAAUUUCCAGUUUUCUUAUGUUGAAUCCUUCCAUAAUUUUGCCAAAACUUAGCAUCGAGAAUGUCAAAACCAAGAAGCGAGAUGUUUAACUGUAUUUUGCCCUAGUUCACUUGUGAUUUUACCUAAAAGCACUAUCUUCUGUCUCUUCUUGGGAAGGUUUUAAAGAAGGAUGUGUUUUACUUUAUUAACCAAUCAUUGUGUACUUUGAAGUUAGGAACCAUCAGAAAUGUAGCUGUGCAGAGACAAAAGGUACACGUUUUCUGGUGUACAUAUCUCUCUUUCCUUUCCGAUUGAGUGGGUGACUCAAGAAAGAUCUAAAGGCCGGGCACAGUGGCUCACGCCUGUCAUCCCAAUAGUUUGGGAGGCCGAGGUGGGUGGAUCACGGGGUCAGGAGAUUGAGACCAUCCUGGCUAACAUGGUGAAAUCCCGUCUCUACUAAAAAUACAAAAAAUUAGCUGGGCGUGCUGGCAGAUGCCUGUAAUCCCAGCUACUCGGGAGGCUGAGGUAGGAGAAUCACUUGAACCUGGGAGGCGGAGGUUGCAGUGAGCCGAGAUCACACCACUGCACUGCAGCCUGGGUGACAGAGCAAGACUCUGUCUCAAAAAAAAAAAAGAUGUAAAUACCACUUGUCUUCUAGAGGUCAUUGGUCAUUGUAUUGUAUUACUGCCUAUUAGAGAAGAAACACACCUAAGAACUUUGUUUGUUUGUUUAUUGAGACGGAGUUUUGCUCUUGUUGCCCAGGCUGGAGUGCAAUGGCGCCAUCUCGGCUCACCGCACUGCAACCUCUGCCUCCCAGGGUCAAGUGAUUUUCCCGCCCAGCUUCCCGAGUAGCUGGGAUUGCAAGCCUGCAUCACCAUGCCCGGCUAAUUUUGUAUUUUUAGUAGAGACAGGGUUUCUCCAUGUUGGUCAGGCUGGUCUUGAACUCCUGACCUCAGGUGAUCUGCCCACCUCAGCCUCCCAAAGUGCUGGGAUUACAGGUGUGAGCCACCGCACCCAGCCAAGAACUUUUACUUAAAAUUUACUGAUGCAAAAUGAUAAUAUUCAUUUAGGUAAUUUUUAUGGGGUUUUUAUUGUGGUGGUGUUUUUGUUUUUUUGAGACAGAAUUUCACUCUGUCACCCGGGCUGGCGUGCAGUGGAGCAAUCUUGGCUCACUGCAACCUCUGCUUCCCGGGUUCAAGCGACUCUCCUGCCUCAGCCUCCCAAGUAGCUGAGACUGCAGGCAUGUGCCACCAUGCCUAGCUAAUUUUUUUUUUUUUUUUUUGAAACCAGGUUUCGCUCUUUUUGCCCAGGCUGGAGUGCAGUGGCGCUAUCUCAGCUCACUGCAACCUCCACCUCCUGGGCUCAAGCGAUUCUCCGCCUCACCCUCCCGAGUAGCUGGCAUUACAGGCAUGUGCCACUAUGCCUGGCUAAUUUUGUAUUUUGGUAGAGGCAGGGUUUCUCCAUGUUGGUCAGGCAAGCUCCUCCUCCUGGGUUCAUGCCAUUCUCCUGCCUCGGCCUCCCGAGUGGCCGGGACUAUAGGCGCCCGCCAUCAAGC
rnacentral:lncRNA from 1 species